rnacentral:tRNA from 1 species
CAAAAUAAAGCUUAAAGUAAGUAUUUCAUUUACAUUGAGAUGACUCUGUGCGAUUCAGAUUAUUUUGA